rnacentral:misc_RNA from 1 species
AUGUUGGCAUACUCCUGGCAACACCCUUCAGACCAGAGGAAAAAUAAGGAAUGGCUUGAACGGCAUUGGCAGCAAUAAUUGCAACAGAAUCUGAUGGGGUCACAAAAAACCUUUUACCGAGGAUCAUAUUACGAUCUGCAUCACCGUCAGCAGCAGCACCAAACUCAGGUGGUUCACCUUGAGUGUUUGAUUUACCCAAUCCCAUUCGUGCAACCAAUUCUUUGGCAUAUGUCAGGUUAGGAUCUGGGUGUCCACCGCCAAAGUCUUCCUUUGGGACGCAAUUUAUCAAUGAACUUUCGCUAGCACCUAGUUCUUCAACAAAAAUCCGCUUGGCAUAGUUUCCAGCAACGCCAUGAAGUGCAUCAUAACAGAUUGUGAAAAUCGGAGACUUCAGCAACUUCUGAAUGGACUCGAAAUCAAAGAUAGUCUUCAUUAGUUUAACAUAAUCAUCGGUUGAGUCAAAAACCUCCACAUCAAAAGGUCCUUCAGGCCCACUGAAGCUAGUUAAACCUACAGUCGAUAUAUCUACAUCUGGAAGAUCUUCUGCAAUGAAGUACUCCUUUAUCGUUUUU